CCGUAGCUCAGUUGGUAGAGCGCUGACUGCAAUAGUCAGAGGUCGCGGGUUCGAGUCCCGUCGUCG
rnacentral:ncRNA from 12 species